UUUCUCGAAUGCGACUGGCGAAGCAAAGGCGGGAUUGACCGCCGGGAAGCGGCACAGUUCUAUCGUGCGCCUGGGUAGAACUU
rnacentral:ncRNA from 2 species